GAUGAACGCUGGCGGCGUGCCUAAUACAUGCAAGUCGAGCGAAUGGAAUAAGAGCUUGCUCUUAUGAAGUUAGCGGCGGACGGGUGAGUAACACGUGGGUAACCUGCCCAUAAGACUGGGAUAACUCCGGGAAACCGGGGCUAAUACCGGAUAACAUUUUGAACCGCAUGGUUCGAAAUUGAAAGGCGGCUUCGGCUGUCACUUAUGGAUGGACCCGCGUCGCAUUUGCUAGUUGGUGAGGUAACGGCUCACCAAGGCAACGAUGCGUAGCCGACCUGAGAGGGUGAUCGGCCACACUGGGACUGAGACACGGCCCAGACUCCUACGGGAGGCAGCAGUAGGGAAUCUUCCGCAAUGGACGAAAGUCUGACGGAGCAACGCCGCGUGAGUGAUGAAGGCUUUCGGGUCGUAAAACUCUGUUGUUAGGGAAGAACAAGUGCUAGUUGAAUAAGCUGGCACCUUGACGGUACCUAACCAGAAAGCCACGGCUAACUACGUGCCAGCCGCCGCAGUAC
rnacentral:rRNA from 1 species